rnacentral:rRNA from 1 species
GACGAACGCUGGCGGCGUGCUUAACACAUGCAAGUCGAACGAUGAUGCUGGAGCUUGCUCCAGUUGAUUAGUGGCGAACGGGUGAGUAACACGUGAGCAAUCUGCCCUUGACUCUGGGAUAACUGCGGGAAACUGUAGCUAAUACCGGAUACUCUCACCGGACGGCGUCUUCUAGUGAUGAAAGAAUUUCGGUCAGGGAUGAGCGCGCGGCCUAUCAGCUUGUUGGUAAGGUAACGGCUCACCAAGGCGACGACGGGUAACCGGCCUGAGAGGGUGACCGGUCACACUGGGACUGAGACACGGCCCAGACUCCUACGGGAGGCAGCAGUGGGGAAUAUUGCACAAUGGGCGCAAGCCUGAUGCAGCAACGCCGCGUGAGGGAUGAAGGCCUUCGGGUUGUAAACCUCUUUUAGCAGGGAAGAAGCGAAAGUGACGGUACCUGCAGAAAAAGCACCGGCUAACUACGUGCCAGCAGCCGCCGUAA